rnacentral:lncRNA from 1 species
AACAUGAUGCAAAAUAAUAAAAUGAACAUGAAACAAAAAAUAAAAACCAAAGUUGCACAACUAGGGGGUUGAACCCCUGACCUUAGGGUCAUGGGGGGAUCAAGCCCCUCUCCCACUAGGCCAAGCGCUUGGUGGUGUUAACUAAACAUGCUCAAAUGAAUAAAUAAAAUAAACAGAAAUAAAAUGGAAAGUGCGCGCUAG